UACAGAGGGUGCGAGCGUUAAUCGGAAUUACUGGGCGUAAAGCGUGCGCAGACGGUCAUGUAAGUCGGUGUGAAAGCCCCGGGCUCAACCUGGGAAUUGCAUUCGAGACUGCAUGGCUAGGGUGCGGAAGAGGGAAGCGGAAUUUCCGGUGUAGCGGUGAAAUGCGUAGAUAUCGGAAGGAACACCAGUGGCGAAGGCGGCU
rnacentral:rRNA from 1 species